GGAGUCCGCCCAGGGCUCAGCACAGGGCGGCGUCCUCACUGUGUGGCGCCUCCGCUCACAACUGCAGGUGAGGACACAGGCUGUCACGACUCCACAGUGCUUGCGAGACGCAGCCCAGACCUCAGACCUUAGUCUGUCCCCCGUUCUGGUCCUUCCAGGCCUCUUGUUGAGUGCCCAGCGCCUGGCUUCGUGCUCGGAGAUGGACCGUGUCCCCGCGCCCCGCCCCCUGUCCUGAGAUAGACCGUGCCCCAGCACAAGCCGAGGGGACGCAGCACCUGCACCCUGGCCUGGCACGUCCUAAGGGGACCUGUAAACUCCCUACAGAUAAUAUCUGCUGAGCAACCGUACGCGCACUCACGGAUACAGACAGAGGAACCGACCGACGCAGCUGUCUGCAGAAGUCUGUAUUGUGCGUGGUCAAGUAGAUGGGGCAGGCUCUGGAGGGAGAGGUCAUCGGUGAACGGACUCCUGAUUCGUCCCACACCGAGAAGGCCUUGCUUGUGUGUCAGGUGACUAUCACAGUUUGCAUGGCGUCCUGUAAAUGCAGUUUCGUCCAGUCCGCACAGCAGCCUGAGAGGCUGAUCUGGUUCAUCCUGGAGACCUGCGCAUGCGUGUCAUGGGUUCACGCAGACACAUAAAAAUAAACACUCGAGAAGAAAAGAAAAACUGAUCAAUAUUUCCAUUUUGGUUUCCUGUCAACACACAAAGCAUCCCCUAACUAGGCUCGGCUAACUAAAGGCUGUUUGGGAACUCUCUUGGGUAUUUUUUAAGUUCCCAUUAAGUAUUUAUAUUUGAUUUGGAUUAAAUCAGUAUC
rnacentral:lncRNA from 1 species